UCCUAUGAGAUUUGGGGUGAUAUUAUACUCAACAAAGUUUAUCAAGAAGAUUGAAUCGAACAGUGGAGAACUCCCAUUAGAUCCUGUGGAAAAUGACAGUGGGACAGAGGAAGAUGUGUCCAUUUUGGGUAAUUCAAAUCAAAUGGGCAAGAAAAGUUGUUAAAGUUGAAGUUGAAGCUGAAGAUGGGGUUGUGGCUGUGCUUUCAGCAUUUCCUUUGCCUUGGAUGAGUUCUUUUUGAAAAACUUGUACUACAUUUGUCAAAAAUUCUUAAUUCUUUUUUUGUCACAUUUAGUAGAUCUAGAUAAUUUGGAUGGUAUUUUCAUAUUGACAGGUUAACUUGUAGUUGUAUUAGUAGACAUUUUUUGAGUUUUGGUUGACA